rfam:Globodera pallida, Lindley, WGS project CBXT01000000 data, contig: pathogens_Gpal_scaffold_165_contig_17
GGGUGAUUGGUCUAGUGGUAUGAUUCUCGCUUCGGGUGCGAGAGGUCCUGGGUUCAAUUCCCAGAUCACCCC